rnacentral:rRNA from 1 species
GCACAAGCGGUGAUGAUGUGGUUAAUCGAUGCAACGCGAAAAACCUUACCCACCUUUGACAUGUACGGAAUCCUUUAGAGAUAGAGGAGUGCUUGCAAAAGAGCCGUAACACAGGUGCUGCAUGGCUGUCGUCAGCUCGUGUCGUGAGAUGUUGGGUUAAGUCCCGCAACGAGCGCAACCCUUGUCAUUAGUUGCUACAUUUAGUUGGGCACUCUAAUGAGACUGCCGGUGAUAAACCGGAGAAGUGGGGAUGACGUCAAGUCCUCAUGGCCCUUAUAGGUGGGGCUACACACGUCAUACAAUGGCCGGUACAAAGGGUUGCCAACCCGCGAGGGGGAGCUAAUCCCAUAAAGCCGGUCGUAGUCCGGAUCGCAGUCUGCAACUCGACUGCGUGAAGUCGGAAUCGCUAGUAAUCGUGGAUCAGAAUGUCACGGUGAAUACGUUCCCGGGUCUUGUACACACCGC